rnacentral:rRNA from 1 species
GAUGAACGCUGGCGGCGUGCCUAAUACAUGCAAGUCGAGCGAACGGACGAGAAGCUUGCUUCUCUGAUGUUAGCGGCGGACGGGUGAGUAACACGUGGAUAACCUACCUAUAAGACUGGGAUAACUUCGGGAAACCGGAGCUAAUACCGGAUAAUAUUUUGAACCGCAUGGUUCAAAAGUGAAAGACGGUCUUGCUGUCACUUAUAGAUGGAUCCGCGCUGCAUUAGCUAGUUGGUAAGGUAACGGCUUACCAAGGCAACGAUGCAUAGCCGACCUGAGAGGGUGAUCGGCCACACUGGAACUGAGACAUGGUCCAGACUCCUACGGGAGGCAGCAGUAGGGAAUCUUCCGCAAAGGGCGAAAGCCUGGCGGAGCAACGCCGCGUGAGUGAUGAAGGUCUUCGGAUCGUAAAACUCUGUUAUUAGGGAAGAACAUAUGUGUAAGUAACUGUGCACAUCUUGACGGUACCUAAUCAGAAAGCCACGGCUAACUACGUG